rnacentral:rRNA from 1 species
AAUACAUCGGAAUCUACCUUUUCGUGGGGGAUAACGUAGGGAAACUUACGCUAAUACCGCAUACGACCUUCGGGUGAAAGCAGGGGACCUUCGGGCCUUGCGCGGAUAGAUGAGCCGAUGUCGGAUUAGCUAGUUGGCGGGGUAAAGGCCCACCAAGGCGACGAUCCGUAGCUGGUCUGAGAGGAUGAUCAGCCACACUGGAACUGAGACACGGUCCAGACUCCUACGGGAGGCAGCAGUGGGGAAUAUUGGACAAUGGGCGCAAGCCUGAUCCAGCCAUACCGCGUGGGUGAAGAAGGCCUUCGGGUUGUAAAGCCCUUUUGUUGGGAAAGAAAAGCAGUCGAUUAAUACUCGGUUGUUCUGACGGUACCCAAAGAAUAAGCACCGGCUAACUUCGUGCCAGCAGCCGCGGUAAUACGAAGGGUGCAAGCGUUACUCGGAAUUACUGGGCGUAAAGCGUGCGUAGGUGGUUGUUUAAGUCUGUUGUGAAAGCCCUGGGCUCAACCUGGGAAUUGCAGUGGAUACUGGGCGACUAGAGUGUGGUAGAGGGUAGUGGAAUUCCCGGUGUAGCAGUGAAAUGCGUAGAGAUCGGGAGGAACAUCCAUGGCGAAGGCAGCUACCUGGGACCAAC